rnacentral:rRNA from 1 species
UUAAAUUGAAGAGUUUGAUCAUGGCUCAGAUUGAACGCUGGCGGCAGGCCUAACACAUGCAAGUCGAGCGGUAGCACAGAGAGCUUGCUCUCGGGUGACGAGCGGCGGACGGGUGAGUAAUGUCUGGGAAACUGCCUGAUGGAGGGGGAUAACUACUGGAAACGGUAGCUAAUACCGCA